GUGCUUGCAAGAAUAAUAGGGGUCAGAUUUUCCUGGAUGUGAUAGCGGAUGGAUUUCUUCAUCAAGUAGUUGAAGUACCUACGAGAGGGGAUGCCAUUUUAGAUUUGGUGUUGGUGAGCAGUGAGGACCUCGUAGAAGAAAUGGUGGUAGGGGACAACCUUGGUUUGAGUGAUCAUGAGCUGAUUCAGUUCAAACUAGAUGGAAGGAUAAACAAAUGUAGAUCUGGGAUUAGGGUUUUCGACUUCUCGAGGGCUAAUUUUAAAGAGUUAAGGAAAUUAGUUAGGGAAGUGGAUUGGACGGAGGAAUUAGUGGAUUUAAAUGCGGAGGAGGCCUGGAAUUACUUUAAGUCGCAGCUGCGGAGACUGUCGGAAGCCUGCAUCCCGAGAAAGGGGGAAAAAACCAUGGGCAGGAGUUGUAGGCCAAACUGGAUGAGCAAGCAACUCAGAGAGGGGAUUAGACAAAAGCAGAAAGCUUACAGGGAGUGGAAGAAAGGCAGGAUCAGUAAGGAAAGCUACCUUGGUGAGGUCAGAACAUGUAGGGAUAAAGUGAGGAAGGCUAAAAGCCGCAUUGAACUGGACCUUGCAAAGGGAAUCAAAACCAAUAGUAAAAGGUUCUACAGCCACAUAAAUAAGAAGAAAACAAAGAAAGAAGAAGUGGGGCCGCUAUACACUGAGGAUGGAAUGGAGAUCAAGGAUAACCUAGGCAUGGCCCAACAUCUAAACAAGUACUUUGCUUCAGUUUUUAAUAAGACUAGUGAACCUUGGGAUGAUGGAGGGAUGAUAAACGGGAAUGUGGAUAUGGAAGUGGAUAUUACCGCAACUGAGGUAGAGGCCGUACUUGAACAGCUCGAUGGGACGAAGUCGGAGGGCCCGGACAAUCUCCAUCCGAGGAUAUUAAAGGAACUGGCGCGUGAAAUUGCGAGCCCGUUAGCGAAAAUUUUUAAGCAAUCGGUAAACUCGGGGGUUGUGCCGUAUGACUGGAGGAUUGCUAAUGUAGUUCCUAUUUUUAAGAAAGGGAAUAAAAGUGAUCCGGGUAAUUAUAGGCCUGUUAGCUUGACGUCUGUAGUAUGCAAGGUCUUGGAAAAAAUUUUAAGGGAGAAAGUAG
rnacentral:lncRNA from 1 species